GCAGGUUACGGCGCGUGAUGACGGAAUGGGGGAGCGUUUCCGGAAGCGCUGCCCGGACGGGCUUGUGCAGGACUUCAGGCGCUUCCGCCUCGAGUCGGCACAAUGAAGCGGGAGCAAUAACCGGAAGAGCCGAGGGUGCAAAUUAUUAUAUUGAACAUCAGCUAAAAUGGGAGAUGCUACAAAACCUUGCUUUGCCAAAAGAAAAAAAAGAGGGGAGCUUUAGCUGAAGAGGAACCCUUCACAACAGGGCUACCACCCCAGGGAUGAUUAUGGACAUGGCAAAAAGAUAUGGGCUUUCAGAAGAAAAAGGGAACACAAGGUCACUGUGGAAACAGUCCCAGAAAAGGAUCACAUAGUAUUCUGAAUAGCUCAAAUUCUUUAAUACCAUGGAUCAGAACCAAGGGGACCCCCGCCUUAUCAGUGCACAGUAUGGACCUGCAUUAGAGGUGAAUCAGGACUGUGCAGCGAAGGAGAUGGAGCCACACACUGAACAAUGAGAAAACAAAAGAGCAAACAACUGCUCAUUAAGUGAGCACCACUCAUUCCGUGCACUGAACGAGGCUAGUAUCCUGUGGAAAAUAGUAUGUGAUUACGUAAUUAAAGAUGGCAUCAUAAUGCUUGCGCACAGAGGAAGGGAUUAAAAUUGCUCAACUAACCUUAAUUGUAGCAUGUUCUUUUAAUAUAUAUUAUGCACACAAAAACUAUAUUGAUAUUUUGCUGUUGGUGACUAAGUGUCUUCCUCUCUUGCACAAAGGAUAGGCAAGAAACAAGCAGGUAAUAAUUAAGUUACAAUUAUAAAAGAUUUAGAAAAUAUCACUCUCAGAUUGAUAAUACUUAAAUAGCACAUACCCACAAUCCCAAAUAAACAGGCAGAAAUGGCUCUUUCCUCUGUUGUAGAAAGAAAAUGACCAUUAAAGCAAACACGUAAGAUGGCAAACCUCCUUCUUCAGGACGAUCAGCACAACACAGCUAUAAAAAAAUUGAAACACAUUAAUAUUUUUCCACACCAGGCUUUUUAUUAUUAUUAUUUUAUUUUUUGGUAUCUAUAAUCAUUCUCCUAUUUGCAAAACCAUCAGUCAACUUAAAUACUGUAAUAGAGAGCGAAGAUUUAUAUAACUCGUUUGUCCCCAUGUUGUGGGAUGUGUUUGGUUUGAAAUGAAUUCAUGUAGUAAUUAAAAUCACAACCAGUGUUCUAGUACAAGAAUACUGAAAUCACUUUUCUUGUAUGCAUUCCAUUCUGAUAAACUUCCAGCCAUACAAGCUAUUGAUUAUACACAAUGGUUGGGAUUUUCAACGGGGAUGAAGAGACAUUGAGUCAAUGGGAUCUUGACAUAAUUCCCUUCAGCUUCUUGAAUAAACUGUUCAUUUUCAGUUUAUAGAGUUAUGGUAUAAUAAAUUCAGAAUUGUGACUCUUAUCUUUGUACUGUAAUCUUCUCAAGCUAUUCCAGAAAUCAAGACUUAAGGUGGCAUAUGUGGUAUGUAUACCCAGAGUACUGUCUAACAUUCACAAAGAUGAUUGGGUUUUUUAGGACUCCAAACUUCACUAUUUUAAAACGACUUGCUAUAUGAAAUAAACAUACCCUACCUUCCAUCAAACACAUAUACUUGCAUCAAAUACUCAAAGAUUUCACUCAUUUUUCCCACACAAACUCUUCCUAAUUAAUUU